AAAAGUCUACCAUUAUUUGCAGUUCUCCAGUAGACUGUUCUUACUGCUUGUUUACCAGCAACGUAACUUAUUGCUCCACCAAUCAGCAUCUAAACGGAACAACAAAAAAAAAAACUUGUCUGGCAGUAUUUAUUGGUGAAUAUGAUACAAGAGGAAAAUGUAUUCUUGGAUAAGGAACAAGAUUUGUUUGAAACUCUUCCAGUCCAACAUUAAUAGAUCCUUCAAAUCUCAAUGAUGCUGUUAUUGCUGAAACAACCUGUGCCAAUAAUCUAUUGAGAUUAGUAUGUCAUACAGUGCCUCAUUGUCAACUACAAAGCAACAAUCUUCAAAAUCUAGAGUUCCAUGAGUUGUCAUAACGGCAUUAUAAGGUUCAACAACUGAUGUUGAUAUAUGAGGUG